rnacentral:rRNA from 1 species
CCCCACACUGGUACUGAGACACGGACCAGACUCCUACGGGAGGCAGCAGUGAGGAAUAUUGGACAAUGGAGGCAACUCUGAUCCAGCCAUGCCGCGUGUAGGAAGACUGCCCUAUGGGUUGUAAACUACUUUUAUAUGGGAAGAAUAAGAUCUACGUGUAGAUNGAUGACGGUACCAUAAGAAUAAGCACCGGCUAACUCCGUGCCAGCAGCCGCGGUAAUACGGAGGGUGCAAGCGUUAUCCGGAAUCAUUGGGUUUAAAGGGUCCGUAGGCGGGCAUAUAAGUCAGUGGUGAAAGUCUGUGGCUNAACCAUAGAAUUGCCAUUGAUACUGUAUGUCUUGAAUUAUUGUGAAGUGGUUAGAAUAUGUAGUGUAGCGGUGAAAUGCUUAGAGAUUACAUAGAAUACCGAUUGCGAAGGCAGAUCACUAACAAUAUAUUGACGCUGAUGGACGAAAGCGUAGGUAGCGAACAGGAUUAGAUACCCUGGUAGUCUACGCCGUAAACGAUGGAUACUAGUUGUUUGGUUUUCGGACUGAGUGACUAAGCGAAAGUGAUAAGUAUCCCACCUGGGGAGUACGUUCGCAAGAAUGAAACUCAAAGGAAUUGACGGGGGCCCGCACNAGCGGUGGAGCAUGUGGUUUAAUUCGAUGAUACGCGAGGAACCUUACCAGGGCUUAAAUGUAGUCUGACAGCUUUAGAGAUAGAGUUUUCUUCGGACAGAUUACAAGGUGCUGCAUGGUUGUCGUCAGCUCGUGCCGUGAGGUGUCAGGUUAAGUCCUAUAACGAGCGCAACCCCUGUGGUUAGUUGCCAGCGAGUAAUGUCGGGAACUCUAGCCAGACUGCCGGUGCAAACCGUGAGGAAGGUGGGGAUGACGUCAAAUCAUCACGGCCCUUACGUCCUGGGCCACACACGUGCUACAAUGGUAGGGACAGAGAGCAGCCACUUAGCGAUAAGGAGCGAAUCUAUAAACCCUAUCUCAGUUCGGAUUGGAGUCUGCAACUCGACUCCAUGAAGCUGGAAUCGCUAGUAAUCGGAUAUCAGCCAUGAUCCGGUGAAUACGUUCCCGGGCCUUGUACACACCGCCCGUCAAGCCAUGGAAGCUGGGGGUNCCUGAAGUCC